rnacentral:rRNA from 1 species
GAUGAACGCUGGCGGCGUGCUUAACACAUGCAAGUCGAACGGAAAGGCUCCUGCUUGCAGGGGUACUCGAGUGGCGAACGGGUGAGUAACGCGUGGGUGAUCUGCCCUGCACUUCGGGAUAAGCCUGGGAAACUGGGUCUAAUACCGGAUAGGACGAUGGUUUGGAUGCCAUUGUGGAAAGUUUUUCGGUGUGGGAUGAGCUCGCGGCCUAUCAGCUUGUUGGUGGGGUAAUGGCCUACCAAGGCGUCGACGGGUAGCCGGCCUGAGAGGGUGUACGGCCACAUUGGGACUGAGAUACGGCCCAGACUCCUACGGGAGGCAGCAGUGGGGAAUAUUGCACAAUGGGCGCAAGCCUGAUGCAGCGACGCCGCGUGGGGGAUGACGGCCUUCGGGUUGUAAACUCCUUUCGCUAGGGACGAAGCGCAAGUGACGGUACCUGGAGAAGAAGCACCGGCUAACUACGUG